rnacentral:siRNA from 1 species
GACUACGACGAACAUAUUGCCG